rnacentral:rRNA from 1 species
CCUACGGGUGGCAGCAGUGAGGAAUAUUGGUCAAUGGGCGCGAGCCUGAACCAGCCAAGUCGCGUGAGGGAAGACGGUCCUAUGGAUUGUAAACCUCUUUUGUCGGGGAGCAAAAGACGCCACGCGUGGCGUUCCGAGAGUACCCGAAGAACAAGCAUCGGCUAACUCCGUGCCAGCAGCCGCGGUAAUACGGAGGAUGCGAGCGUUAUCCGGAUUUAUUGGGUUAAAAGGGUGCGCAGGCGGAAGAUCAAGUCAGCGGUAAAAUUGAGAGGCUCAACCUCUUCGAGCCGUUGAAACUGGUGUUCUUGAGUGAGUGAGAAGUAUGCGGAAUGUGUGGUGUAGCGGUGAAAUGCAUAGAUAUCACGCAGAACUCCGAUUGCGAAGGCAGCAUACCGGCGCUCAACUGACGCUCAUGCACGAAAGUGUGGGUAUCGAACAGGAUUAGAUACCCCUGUAGUC